CCUACGGGUGGCUGCAGUGAGGAAUAUUGGUCAAUGGGCGCAAGCCUGAACCAGCCAAGUCGCGUGAGGGAUGACGGCCCUACGGAUUGUAAACCUCUUUUGCCGGGGAGCAAGCGUGCGUUCGUGUCCGCGCGCCGAGAGUACCCGGAGAAAAAGCAUCGGCUAACUCCGUGCCAGCAGCCGCGGUAAUACGGAGGAUGCGAGCGUUAUCCGGAUUUAUUGGGUUUAAAGGGUGCGUAGGCGGGAUGUUAAGUCAGCGGUAAAAAUGCGGGGCUCAACGCCGUCGGGCCGUUGAAACUGGCGGUCUUGAGUGGGCGAGAAGUAGGCGGAAUGCGUGGUGUAGCGGUGAAAUGCAUAGAUAGCACGCAGAACCCCGAUUGCGAAGGCAGCAUACCGGCGCCCUACUGACGCUGAGGCACGAAAGCGUGGGGAUCGAACAGGAUUAGAUACCCUUGUAGUC
rnacentral:rRNA from 1 species